UACGUAGGGGGCAAGCGUUGUCCGGAAUUACUGGGCGUAAAGCGUGCGUAGACGGUAGCGUAAGUCAGAUGUGAAAGCCCCGGGCUCAACCUGGGAAUUGCAUUUGAGACUGCUCUGCUCGGGUGCGGAAGAGGGAAGCGGAAUUUCCGGUGUAGCGGUGAAAUGCGUAGAUAUCGGAAGGAACACCAGUGGCGAAAGCGGCUUCCUGGUCCGACACCGACGUUCAGGCACGAAAGCGUGGGGAGCAAACAGG
rnacentral:rRNA from 1 species